GAUAGCCUGUAAAGGGUCCCACAUGGAGCUUGCUAGGAAAAACAUGAUUUCCCCUCCUCUGCAGCCUGCUGACUCCAAGAACUGGUCUCCAGGGCAAGCCCUGAUGACCCCAGAAGCCUAUUGUAGUGAGGUGGGUGUUUGUCUCUACUCCCAAGUCACAAGCCCUAGGGCAAGAGGAAAUAGUCUCAAGUUGUGCCGGGGAAGAUUUAGAUUGGCUAUUAGGAAAAACGUCUUCACUGAAAAGGUUGUCAAGCAUUGGAACAGGCUGCAUGGGGAAGCGAUUGAGUCACUAUCUCUGGAGGCAUUUAAAAGACAUCUAAAUGUGGCACUUUGGAACAUGGUUUUAUGGUGGGCUUGUCAGUGUUAGGUUUGCGGUUGGACUCAGUGAUGUUAAAGGUCUUUUCCAACCUAAAUGAGUCUAUGUUUCUUUGUUAUCUACAGUAUUGUAGACCCUACUGAUUUCAGAAGGAUGGUUUCCAUGCAUUGGGAAGUCAUUUAUCAGAUCCCCUGCUUUAAUAAUGAGAAAACACUGAAGCAAAUCAGCCUCUGAAGAAGCAAUAUGCCGUCUCUUCUGCUCUUCAAGCCUUUUCACUUCUAUUGAGUUUGAAAAUACAAGAAAAGACAGAAACUCUGGGAUUAGCUUUGCAGAACUGGUGCAAACAAGAAGUGGCAGAUGGCUUCACUCUGUCAAGUAAAAGUUGUCCUUUUACACAUAAAUCUGUUUGGCCUCAGAGGAAAACAGGAAAACUAUUAAGGAAGGUUAAGUAGCUUUGCAAACCCUUACAAGUCUGAAGAUUUUCUUUAGAGUUACUGGAAAAGGGUUUGUAGAAACAGGAUGUUUCAUGUUUCCUUUCACUUCUUUUGAAGCUGCAGGGUGUCGGUGUGUUUCUUCCUCAGAUUUAAACUGUUUCUAUGCAAAUAAUGGCUUCACCCUUGCAUGUGUCUAGACUCCUAGCCCUGUGAGACAAGUGAAAUCCCUUUACAUGUACAAAUGGAGCAUUUCCUCAUCUGCACAACAGAUAUGAAGAUAAUACAGGUGGAUUCUUUCCUCAGUAUAUAUGAGGGGAAAAUGGAUGGAAAAAAAUAAAAGAAACUUGUGAGAAUUUUGA